GACGAACGCUGGCGGCGUGCUUAACACAUGCAAGUCGAGCGAUGAAGUUCCUUCGGGAAUGGAUUAGCGGCGGACGGGUGAGUAACACGUGGGUAACCUGCCUCAUAGAGAGGAAUAGCCUUUCGAAAGGAAGAUUAAUACCGCAUAAGAUUGUAGUAUCGCAUGAUACAGCAAUUAAAGGAGUAAUCCGCUAUGAGAUGGACCCGCGUCGCAUUAGCUAGUUGGUGAGGUAACGGCUCACCAAGGCGACGAUGCGUAGCCGACCUGAGAGGGUGGUCGGCCACAUUGGGACUGAGACACGGCCCAGGCGCCUACGGGAGGCAGCAGUGGGGAAUAUUGCACAAUGGGGGAAACCCUGAUGCAGCAACGCCGCGUGAGUGAUGACGGUCUUCGGAUUGUAAAGCUCUGUCUUCAGGGACGAUAAUGACGGUACCUGAGGAGGAAGCCACGGCUAACUACGUGCCAGCCGCCGCAGUAAUAC
rnacentral:rRNA from 1 species